rnacentral:rRNA from 1 species
GAAUUUUUCCGCAAUGGGCGAAAGCCUGACGGAGCGACGCCCGCGUGCGUGAUGAAGGCCUUCGGGUCGUAAAUCGCUGUCGGAAAGGGCGAACUGCCAUAGUGCUAAUACCAUUAUGGUUUGACGGUACUUUCCAAGGAAGCCCCGGCUAACUCCGUGCCAGCAGCCGCGGUAAUACGGGGGGGGCAAGCGUUGCUCGGAAUCAUUGGGCGUAAAGGGCUCGUAGGCGGCCUGAUAAGUCGGUUGUGAAAGCCCACGGCUUAACCGUGGAAUUGCGAUCGAUACUGUCGGGCUUGAGUGUGGGAGAGGAAGGCGGAAUUCCCAGUGUAGCGGUGAAAUGCGUAGAUAUUGGGAGGAACACCGGUGGCGAAGGCGGCUUUCUGGACCACAACUGACGCUGAGGAGCGAAAGCGUGGGGAGCAAACAGGAUUAGAUACCCUGGUAGUCCACGCUGUA